AGCAGUAGCCGCGGUAAUACAGAGGAUGCAAGCGUUAUCCGGAAUUACUGGGCGUAAAGCGUGCGCAGGCGGUUUCUUAAGUCUGAUGUGAAAGCCCCCGGCUCAACCGGGGAGGGUCAUUGGAAACUGGGAAACUUGAGUGCAGAAGAGGAGAGUGGAAUUCCACGUGUAGCGGUGAAAUGCGUAGAGAUGUGGAGGAACACCAGUGGCGAAGGCGACUCUCUGGUCUGUAACUGACGCUGAGGAGCGAAAGCGUGGGGAGCGAACAGGAUUAGAUACCCGAGUAGUCCCUGUCUCUUAUAC
rnacentral:rRNA from 1 species